UACGGAGGGUGCAAGCGUUAUCCGGAUUUACUGGGUUUAAAGGGUGUGUAGGCGGGCCUUUAAGUCAGUGGUGAAAUCUCCGAGCUUAACUUGGAAACUGCCAUUGAUACUAUUGAUCUUGAAUUUUGUUGAGGUAGGCGGAAUAAGUCAUGUAGCGGUGAAAUGCAUAGAUAUGACUUAGAACACCAAUUGCGAAGGCAGCUUGCUAAACAAAUAUUGACGCUGAGGCACGAAAGCGUGGGGAUCAAACAGG
rnacentral:rRNA from 1 species